rnacentral:rRNA from 1 species
UACGUAGGGACCAAGCGUUGUCCGGAAUCAUUGGGCGUAAAGAGCGUGUAGGCGGCUUGUUAAGUCUUGCGUGAAAUCUCGGGGCUCAACCCCGAGCGGUCGUGAGAAACUGGCAGGCUAGAGGGUGGGAGAGGUAAGCGGAAUUCCUGGUGUAGCGGUGAAAUGCGUAGAUAUCAGGAGGAACACCUGUGGUGUAGACAGCUUACUGGACCACUUCUGACGCUGAGACACGAAAGCGUGGGUAGCAAACAGG